CCAUAUUGGUUGCUAAAGGAGACAAACUAAACCCACAAGUCCUUCCAUUUUUUUCUUGAACCCUAUUACCCUUUCUGACCCCUUUAAUCCCAUCCAAAACCUCCCUUCCCCCAAUCAUGUAUUUGCUAGGUUGCAAGGAACAAGCACGAGAGGCCACAAGAAGCGACAACUCAAACACUCAGGCUUGUCUCAGAUAACCCAGAUUAUCCCGUCUCGACUUUCAGGCGCAUGCAUCAGGAGGCUGAUUUCCAGGGAAAUAUGAUGGGUUGAACAUGUGACACUGAUUCUUGGAAAGUAUCGUAAAGUUUCACCACACCACAGAUCGCCUGGAGAGUGGAAAUCACACACAACUCCAGCCAUACCUCAGUCCUGCCCCACGCUCUUCAGGAGACAUCUCAGGUAACUUCAGGUACCUUCAGAAGAUUUGACAAUGCAGCCAAAUGCUGGAUAGUCAAGAUAGAGACAGAUAGAAUUUGUCUUUGCAGUA